ACUUUAGCUCCGCCCGUUGACUCUGCGGCUACGACCUUUAUUUGUCAGGAAAGGCGGGCUUUAGAGGCGCGGGACUUCCACACUUCCUCUCCGAAGGCCCUGCGCCGGUGCCGUAGCCAAUGACAGACCACGUUGUGUCCCAGCAGCCAAUCGGAAGGGCCUGGUCCUGAAGUCGUGCACUUGACCGCUCCUCCCUCCGCGUUGGAGGCGGAAUAGUGGGUUUUGCUGCAACCGGUUUUGUUUCUGUUUUCACCCAUUCUGGCACAAUCCGGCGCCAUCGUCCUUCUUGUGAGGCCAAGCCUGAAAAUGCGAAGCAGAGAGGCAGAACCAAAAUUGAGGCGAAUCCGGGAACCUGCCAAUGGGUCUCCGGGUGCGGUCUCUGAAACUGGAGGAUAUCAGGAGGAAAGGCUCUCCGAUGCGGAGAGAAUGGGGAAGCUCUUGGCAUGGUUGGCUGUAGGUGUGUGAUACCGGAGGAGCAGGAGUCAAAUAGGAUACGCCGACUUUUAAUUCAAGGAACCCUUUUCUGAAACACUUUGCCACAAUGAAGGAAAUAAGAGUUCAUCCAUCUUAUAGCACGUAUCAGUACUUUAUUUUUUAUUGCUGAAUCGUAUUCCAUUUUAUGGAUGUAGCAGAUUUUGUUUAUCCGUUCAACAGUUGGUGGACAUUUGGAUUGUUUCCAAUUUUUUUUUUUUUUUUACUAUUGUGAACAUUCGUGUGCAAGUUUUUGUGUGGACAGAUGUUUUCAUUUUCCUGAUUACACACCUAAGAGUGGAAUUGGAAUUGUACUCUCAGAAAUGUUGAGAAAAGAUACAUGGGUCUUGGAAGAUAAUUACUCAAAAUAUGCAGGGAAGGAAUAAAAUUGAAGGGUGUUUUUCUUAGAGAACAUCAUUUGUCAUAUUUAUUUGAUCAAGAAGUUGAAGAUUUAUGUAACAAGGAUCUAGUUUGAAGCACUAAGAAGAAUAAGACAUCAGUUUGAAAAGAGGCUCUAUCAGAACAACACGAAUUCUGCUAAAAUUGAAGCAAGAACAAACAUCAAAUAUAUGUUGACACUUGGGUGGAAGAAUGGUGAACUAAUUGAUGCUUUAUGAAAAGUUGAUAGGGACAAUGCUCCAAAGAAAUCAGUUUACAAACGGAUAACUCGUUUUAAGAAGGAAUAAGGUAAUGUUGAAGAAGAAACCCACAGUGGCAGAUCAUCCACAUCAGUUUGUGAGAAAAAAGUUAGUUCAUGGCAUAAUUGAAGAAAACCAACAAUUAACAGCAGAAACAACAGCCAACACCAUAGACAUCUCAGUUGGUUCACCUUACACAAUUUUGACUGGAAAAGUUCAGCAAACUUUAUACCUGAUAGGUACCAAAACCAUUGCACCCAGAUCAGCUACAGACAAGAACAGAGCUUUCAAUGGAAAUUUUAAAUAAGUGGGAUCAGGAUCCUGAAGCCUUUCAUUGAAAAAUUGUAACAGGAGAUAAAACAUGGCUUCACCAGCGCAAUCCUGAAGACAAAACACAAAGCAGUGGUUACCAAGAUAAGUAGUUCAGUCAAAGCACAAGAGGACUGGUUGAGAGCAAAGGUCAUGGCAACAGCUUUUGAAUGCUCAAGGCAUUUUGCUUGUUGACUUUCUGUAGGGCCAAAGAAUGGUAACGUGCUUAUCAUGGGAGUGUUUUGAGAAACUUAGCCAAAGCUUCAGCAGAAAAAUCCCCGAGAAAGACCAGAGAGUUCUUCACCACAAUGUUCCUGCUCAUCCCUCUCAUCAAACAAGGGCAUUUUGCAAGAGUUUUGAUGGGAAAUCACUAGGCAUCCACCCUACAGUCCUGGUUUGGCACCUUCUGGCUUUUUGUUUCCUAAUCUUAAAAAAAUUGUUAAGGGCAGUACAUUUUUCUCAAGUUAAUGUAAAAAGAAACUGCAUUGAUGUAGAUAAAUUCCCAGAACUCUCAGUUCUUUAGGGAUGGACUAAAUAGCUGGUAUCAUCACUUACAAAAGUGUCUUGAAUGCUAUAGAGCUAAUGUUCAGAAAUAUAGUUUAUAUUUUUAUCUUUUAACCAUUUUUCCACAAACUUUUUGAAGUCUCCUUGAAUAUGUACCAUUUAUAAAGGGGAAAAAUUCUGUGACUACUCAUGUUGACUUAAUGCUGACUUAAUUUUCUAUUUUGUAAAUAUAUACAAACAAGUUGAUACAAAGUUUGUUUAUAGCCCUUAAACAAAUUUGUGAAAUAAAUGCAUUCAGAAACAAACUAAAA